UGGUAUUUCUGUAGUUCUUAUUCUGGGCGUGUCAUUUUCCGAUGGAAAUUAGGGUUUCGAGGGAGUGAUCGGCGGUAAAAAAUCAGGUAAAUGACAGUAAGUUCAGGCAAGAGUAUAAAAAAGUGUCAUUUCUUCCCCAUUUGUGGUAAGCUCCAAUAAGAACAUGUAGGGCUGAUGUAUUUUCAGCCCCACAGAUCAAUGUUUCCAUUGCAAGGUUCAAUAUUGAAAUGUGAUUAUCAGAAGCAGUGGGCCAUCAUUGAAAGAUUACCCUUGUAGUGAGUCUAGGUACAUGUUUUCUUCCCUUCUAUUGGUAUUUUCUUCUACCUUUACAUUUGAAGACUCGCCUGAGUCUUUGUUUGGCUU